GAGUUCCAAAAUGCUUACUAUAAGGGAGGUUUUAAUAGUAUAUGAAAUGUAUUCAAGCAUCAAAUUAUCAUAAUCGGCCAGGAGCUGCACCAAAGUUAAAUGUUAAGAGAGACCUUCAAUAGACCUUAUGAUUCCAUCUUAAAGACAGCUCUGCAUGAUUUCAAUUUGAUAAAGAUAGUAGAAAAAUUAUUGUCAAAGCCAUUGCAACCAGAAGGUGCUGACUCUAUCCUUUCAUUUCCAGUUAAUUUAAUUGCUUUAUGUUUGCGUUAUAUAGUAUUAUAACAUAGUGGUUGGAUUGCAGGUAUGUCAUAUGAAAGAGAAGAGAGUCGUAACUAUUGGAAGAAUGAAGAUCAUUUUCAAGAUUAACCAUAAACUAGAUACAGAACAACCAACCUCUACAAAAU
rnacentral:lncRNA from 1 species